CAAAACUCUUCCCCUGACAGUUCAAUUAGGGCUAUGCCAGGAUUUGUACAGACUUUUGCAGAGAAAUGAGAAUCUAUCCUAUCCUUUCACUUGCGAGUCAGGAGAAAUCUGCUUAUAAAUUACUGCUGUUUGCAUCUGGGGGAUAAUUACUGCUCAAAGCUCACAGAUAAACCCAAAAUUUUAACUUAAUAAUGUCAAAAAUGUUAACUGUUUUAAAUCACAGCAGCUGUCCUGGACCUUCGCAGUCACUGAGCUGAUUUGCAGUUGUAUCAGUGUGUCAGCAUCCUUCCUGAGGUGCCCGCAGUGCAGGGGGGGACUGGCACUGAGCCCCCGCCUUCCUUCUGUGCACGGCCGUCUUAUCUGCAGAGCAACUUUCUGUUUUCUUUUCUCUCUUCAUUUCCAUAAACAAUAUGCACAAUUCUCAGAGCCAUUCAGUCAGCAAAUAAAGGCAGAGGGCUAAGUAAAUUUGCUUCACACCAAUUAUUUUUGUGAGGUCACCGAGUUAAGCAUUAAAGAAUACUGCUGCGGAUGAGCACUCGGGAACAGUGUGACUGUGGUAUGAGGUGCACAAAGCACCCAGUGCCCGGCAGAACACGACAUUUAUUGGGAAGCUUUGUUCCACGAGCUAACAGAACAAUAAUCCUUUUCAUUUAACAACUCCGCAUUACUCAUUUCCCCACGUAGCCCAGCUGCACUGUAAGCCACUUUUGUAAGUCACACCAUAGGAGAGAAAGCGAAAGAUGUGUGAUUUCAGGGGGAAAAGAAGGGAUUGCUCAGUUCCAUCGCGAGCUGAUUGUUUCUGUGCACAGCGUGAGGGAGCAAGAAGAACAGAGGGUCUCCUCAGCUUCCAGCUGCUUCUGGGUCGUGCACGAGAGCAGAGUGUGAUCCCCGUUGCAGGAGAUAUCUCAAAUGGCUGCUUUAAGCAUGUCUUACCCUGCCCACGUGCUGCACUGAUGGGCACACCAUGUCCACGAGACAAAUUCUAUUUUCCCAGGUAAAAUUCAUGCUGAAAAUAGCAUUUCUUGCCUGUGAGAAUUUAGUUUUCAGUGGUAAUUUUCUAGAAUAAACACAGAGUGUGCAGACCUGGAAUAUGUAAUCAGAUAUUUUCAGACGCCCUUACUACCACACAUCCAGUUAUCCACUUUAACAAGCUGAUAUGACACAUGAAAGCGCUGAAAUCACUCCAACAGACAUUUUUCCCUUUCUGGGUCUCCCCACCACAUCAACCCAUGGUCGUGCAGCCUUGGAGAACUGUUUACUUUACCAGAGUAGAAUAUUCCCAAAAGUCUGUGGCUAUUUCCCAAUUGUGACGAUGGCUGGGGAGGGGAUUGCGAGCUGAUGAUAACGGGAUGGAGGAGAUUAGGCAGCUAAGCCAUCCAUUUUAGUUCCAGUGAUCAGAUUUCACAGCCUUUAUCUGAAGCACUGACUGGCUGACUUUUCAAGCGAGGGUAAAAUGAAGGAGUGCAGCUAUAACCAAUAACUUAAUGCAUGUUGAUUGCCAUCAAAAAAUUGUCAUCUAUCCGAAGGUGCCUGUGUUUCUGUGCUGGUAUAUGCGUUUGAGCUGGAGAGUUUCAUCUUGUAAAUGCUUAUUCUCGUUAUCUGUAGAAUUACUUAUAGCAGAAAGCUCUGCUCCCACUUGUGAUUGCAAUCAUGGUGCUCACAGUAAGCAUCACGGCACAGGUUUAUAAAGAUCAGCAUAGAUACCAGGGACAAGGUUCUGCUUUAGGCAAACAAAAUGCUUCAGGGCUGAACAGAAAAUACUGGACUGGACCAUUAGGUAGAAAUUACUUAUCAAGAAGAAAAAAAAAUACAGUCCAGAAGAAUUCAGUCAGUGUUGCCCAGACAUUUUACAAGGAAUUGUAAAUGCUUAGUACCAUAGUUGCCAAAUACAAUGAAAUACAAUUAACUGGUAUUAAGCUUUUUAUGAUAAAAGGGACCUUUCCCUUAAGAACAGCUUUUAACGAGCAGCUUUACUUGUUUAUCCUUAGAAAGAAAAAUCUGUCCCUAUAUAUAUUUUUUACUUUAAACCUAAAAGCACGGUGUUAUACAUAUUAACGCUCUAAGAAAGCUCCCAGGAGUUUUCCAGACCUCCCAUGGGUACCCUGAGGGGAAAAACAGAGCUGCACAUGGGGAAUGUGGGGGUGCGAAGGGAAGGAAAAGUUAGUUCCAAGUGCACUGUGAUGUGUCAGAUCUCAGGAGGCAUGGGAAAAAAAAACCACAAAAAUUGUGAUUUUUUUACAAGGGAAACGGUGUAUUGAUUUGAGACCUUUAUAUCAAAAGGAGCUCAAUUAAUCUGAUUUCAGUUGGCUGUGAGUACAUCCCUACCUUUCAAAAUCAAAGCAACAACCACAGCAACAAAAUAUCAACAAAUGUACACAGCAAAAACUGCCAUAAGAAAAG
ensembl:lncRNA